rnacentral:rRNA from 1 species
GCUCAAAUUUGAAAUCUUCAAGGUUUUACCUUGACGAAUUGUAGUUUAAAGAAGUGUUUUCUGUUGGUGUUUUGGUAAAAGUUCUUUGGAAUAGGACAUCAUAGAGGGUGAGAAUCCCGUAUUUGACCAUUACUUCCAGCGUUGUGAUACACUUUCAAAGAGUCGGAUUGUUUGGGAAUGCAGUCCAAAAUGGGUGGUAAAUUUCAUCUAAAGCUAAAUAUUGGCGAGAGACCGAUAGCGAACAAGUACCGUGAGGGAAAGAUGAAAAGAACUUUGAAAAGAGAGUUAAACAGUACGUGAAAUUGUCAAAAGGGAAGCGUUUGACACCAGUGUUGUUUUCUCGAAAAUCAAUUAAAAAAAGUUGGAUUUUGUAUUGUUAAGACCUUAUCAGCUUACUGUACUCUUUUCUUGCUUUUUUUAAUGCACUUUUCAUUUAACAAG